rnacentral:misc_RNA from 1 species
AAAAUAUCAGUUUUAAAUAUUUUGAUUAAAAUACCGAACAAAGUUGUAAAGAUUCAACUCUAUUACACGAGCACUACUACUACUGGCCUAAUCAGAUCGUGCGUGUGCCGGUUCCUUCCGCUUCCACGCUAGCAGUCUAAAAAAGGCGCGGCUGAGCGUGGUCUGGCGUGGUGUAGUGCCGGUGAUUUUUGCUGCGAGUUGAGUCUGUACGAGCUUACUUCGUGGCGGACUGUCGCUUGUUCAUUGCUCGUGCCUGCAGGUCUUCAAGAUGGUGGUUGAUAACGCUCUAGCGCGGGUAAUGUGUAGGGCCAAGCAAGCGGACGAGUUGCUUGCGGCGCUUACUGCUCAGCUGCAAUCUUUGCGUGCUGCCAGAACAGAGCGAUAUGUUCAAGCCGAAUGCGCCCGCUUACGAAGCGAAAACGAACAGCUCAGGCGAGACGUCGAAACUUGGAAAAAACGCCUCGAGGCUGCCGAAGCUGGCUGCGGGAUCGCGCCAGUGGGAGUUUCCGCACAACGAGCGAAACCUGAGCAGCCGGCAGCUCAAGCAAAGAGCGCUAAGCCACAAGCCGCUCCGCAGAAACUUGGUGACGCUGGUGCCGGCGAUCAGCCCAAGAAACGUGCUGGACCCGCUGUGGACUCAAAAGCACCCCCGGCGAAGAAGGCGGAUGCCAAGAAAAAGGUCGAAGACAACGAUGACUCGAAGCCCGUAGAUGUGAGCCGGCUUGACUUGCGCGUGGGACGGAUUGUGAGCGCUGUCAAGCACCCCGAUGCAGACUCUCUCUACGUUGAACAGGUAGACGUAGGAGAGGAAAAGCCUCGCACGGUCGUCUCGGGAUUGGUGAAGUUUGUGCCGCUCGACAAGAUGCAGAACCGCAUGGCUGUGCUUCUCUGCAAUCUGAAGCCUGCCAAGAUGCGCGGUGUCACGUCGGAAGCCAUGGUCAUGUGCGCGAGCACUCCGGAGAAAGUUGAAAUUUUGGCUCCUCCACCAGGUGCUCAGCCAGGGGAUCGCGUUGUCUGCGACGGUUAUCCAGGCCAGCCAGAUGCGCAGCUUAACCCCAAGAAGAAAAUCUUUGAGCAGGUGGCUCCCGACCUCAAGACUGACAGUGAAAAAAGGGCUACGUACAGAGACCAGCCAUGGAUUGUUACGGGCCAUCAGGGUCAUGUGACUGCAGAGACGCUAUGCAAUGUCCAGAUUAAGUAAUUUUACAUUUACAUUUACAAGCCGCAACACAGUCUAUAAACAUAAUGAAAAUGAGUGAAAAAAGUUGCAACUCCCCUCUACUAAAAGCUAGAAAACGAAUCAACUAUACACUGUUCCAGAAGUUCCGUGCAGCACUGUGGAAGCUACAUGUCUUCUCAACCAAUCAGGAGGGCAAGCACAUUCAAGUAUAUCCUUCCACGCCCUGUCGCCUGCUAGCGACGUGCGCUGCAGCGAAAGCGGCAAGAGCGUCUUGGGACACUGUGUAACUGCGCAGUGAGAUGAGCUGUAAUUGUGAAAGCGGUUAAAUAUUCUCCUCGGCACCGUAAAAGCGCGCGUCUUUGAGAUACUUGCACAUAGACAUUUGAGGGAUAGGGUUCAGUGGCUCAUGUUUCGGUGGAAAGCGCCGCACUAGCCCAAUUGAAUAUAAAAGCACCAAGCUUCAUCAGAUUUCGAAUACGCAUGCCUAUGGGCAUGCGAAGUGCCGCUCGCGUUCGAUACGAAAUGAUGGCUCUAUUUCCUGGUGCCUCGCUGUGCUUAUCGUGCUUCGCUACCCACUUGUACAGUGCACGCUCGCUGACGUUGGUGAACGCAGCCGUUCUCUUAAUGAGAGAAUUCAUGCUUGCAUUUCUCCCGCCCUCCUUACGCAGUGUCCCGAACACAUUUAGAGCCAACUGCUUCACUCCCUUGUCGUAAAAGUUGAUCUGGGAACGAUAUCGCAUAGAUGAACCAGGCGUCGCCAUUUUGGCAGGAGUGACCAAAUCUGCCACCGCGGACUAAUCACCACCAAAGACUGGUUCCUCCUCGGUGCUGCGGACGCUCGGGCUGUGUGGACUACUCAUAAAAGUUUAGACAGUGUCGUACCAUUCCUUCGUACUUUAUAAGUAAAAGCAUAAUACAUAUGAGCCACAACAGCGUUAUUUCUGUCGUUUGCAUGUUAUAACACGUACAUGCAAGGACUUUUUCUUCAGUAUGAUGGAGUCACAAAAAUUUUCUACAAAAAAUGCGACAAAAUUGUCAUACAAAUCACAGCUACAACAUGCAGAGAAGCCUUCAAGUAAAAAUCCUCCGACGUUACCGGUUGCAAAAUUCGCGAGGACAAACAAUGGGCUAAGUAUACGGGGCAAUACAUCUCUCUUCCCAACAACCUGCGUUCGAGGGUCGUGUAGCCUUGGCUCUGCUGCAUGGAACUUCUGGAACAGAUUAUAGUUCAAAAGCAUCUUGUAUAUUUGCUAUGGCAAUAAAGAAAUGUUAAAGUGCAAGAUAUGCUAAAAACAUUUAAAUGGGUGCUGACAAAAUUUAUUGGCCAAAAUGUGGGAUCGAAUGCCAUGAAAAUGCAGAUGUCAUCUGCAAAUUAUUGUUACGGUGUAACAUAGACAUGAACCAGGGUGGUGGUCGCCGAAGAUGAAGACGAGAAAACGUAGAGCUGCCGCGUGGUACUCAUCCGCCAUAUCAUCUGGCUGACGAUCAGCUGUUUCAAUAAAUAUCGAUCUCACCUCCGUCACACUUGGUGGAGGUGCUGGGUAAACGCCUUCCAACGGAACUUUGCAGCGGACGUCGUUUGAAGGGACACUCUGCAACUAUGACGGAAAAUACGGCGUCUGCAUCUGCCCCCGGUGUUCGUGUGGCUAGAGAUGAUGCGGCGACUGCAUCUGCUCUGGCGACUACAACCUUCGUGCUUGAAUCCCCACGGGAUCCUGGCAGGAUUAGCGGUUCUGGCGAUCCAGAUGAAGUGGACGUUGAGAAUUGGCUGGCGGAGUACGAACGUGUGAGUACUCGAUACAGAUCGGGUCCGACUCUUAUGCUGGCGAACUUGUUGUUCUACUUUAAGGGAACUGCCAUGGUGCGGUAUGACACCAUGAAGCAGAACUUGGGAGCUGGGAAACAUGCAGGCAAAAAAUGUUGGACUUGUUCGAGAAGCCGAUUGGACGAAAGAUGUCUGCAAACAAAAUGCUUGCGUCUCGGGCGCAAACGUCCACAGAAUCGUACAUCGAAGCUGUAAUUUCUUUGUGUUGGAGAGUCAAUGCCGGAGGCCCCCGUCGUGCUCGUGAAAAAAAAAAAAAAAGAUGGAAGCUGGCGCUUUUGUGUUGACUAUCGCCACUUAAACAAAGUAACUCCUAAAGACGUCUACUCUUUGCCACGGAUCGAUGGUGACGCUCUCGACUGCCUUCAUAGUGCACAAUACUUUUCAUCGAUCGACCUUCGGUACGGUUAUUAGCAAAUUUUAGUUGACCCCAUGGACCGCUAAAAAACUGCCUUUGUGACGCCUGAUGGUCUCUACCAAUUCAAGGUCAUGCCGUUUGGACUUUGCAAUGCCCCGGCAACUUUCGAACGCAUAAUGGACUCCCUCCUCCGUGGAUAUAAGUGGUCCAUCUGUUUAUAUUACCUAGACAAUGUCAUCGUCUGUUCCCCUACGUUUGACAGCCAUCUCACAUGUCUGUCUGCCGUUCUGGAUGUUUUUCGCUGAGCCACUCUUCAACUGAAUUCGGCAAAGUGCUGUUUUGGACGGCGCAAAAUAACUAUUUUCGGUCACCUUGUAAGUGCUGCCGGCGUUCAACCGGACCUCGAUAAGGUGCGGGCAGUGCGAGAAUUCCCUGUACCGUGCUCAACCAAGGACGUCCGCAGUUUUAUAGGAUUAUGUUCCUAUUUUCGUCGCUUCGUCCACAACUUCGCUCACAUUACCCGACCUCUUACUGAUCUCGUUAAAAAGGACACUCCUUUCACUUGGCGUGCCAAGCAAGCUGACACCUUUUCUACCCUUAUCCAUCUGCUGACUACGCCGCCAAUACUGGCCCAUUUUGACCUUACUUCGCAUACAGAGCUUCGGACCCAUGCCAGUGGCCACGAAAUUGGGGCGGUUCUCGGUCAACGACAGCACGGCAAGGAUCAAGUAAUUGCUUAUGCCAGUCGUCUCCUUUUGCCCGCCGAGCAGAAAUUCUCCAUCACCGAGCGUGAAUGCCUAGCGCUAGUGUGGGCUGUGACUAAAUUCAGGCCCUACCUAUAUGGCCGAACGUUUUCCGUAGUCACAGACGAUCGCGCUCUCUGCUGGCUCUCGUCACUAAAGGACCCGUCUGGACGUCUCGGUCGCUGGGCACUACAUCUUCAGGAAUAUUCGUUUCAGGUACAUUACAAGUCGGGGCGACUUCACAAAGACGCAGACUGUUUGUCACGUCAUCCAGUUGAAGAGCACAACCUAGAAGACCUUGACUCUGACUCCUGCAUGCUGUCCAUCUCCGCUUUGCUUGACAUCGUCAGUGAACAGCGACAGGACCCAUCGUUAGUGGCUAUUAUCGACCGUCUAACAUCCCCCUCACCCGACCCGUCUGUUCGAGCUGCAUGACAACAUCCUGUAUCGUCGCAGCUUCAAUGCUGAUGGCCUGGAACUACUUUUUGUGCCACCCCACUAUUUACGCAACAGUGUCCUGGAACAACUUCAUGAUGCACCCACUGUCGGUCACCUUGGUGUCUCUCGUACAUACGAUCGAGUGCGACGUCGUUGUUUCUGCCUGGCAUGUACCGUACUGUGGUUCAUUACGUCGCGUCAUGUGACCACUGCCAACGACGAAAGCGCCCAUUGGUACUGCCUUCUAGCCACUUACACCCCAUCAACAUACCCGUGGAGCCAUUCUUCUGUGUUGGACUUGACCUGCUAGGCCCUUUUCCUGCGUCCACCUCGGGUAAUAAAUGGGUUGUUGUCGCCGCGGAUUAUAGCAAACGCUUUACCAUCAUUCGAGCACUGCCAAUGAGUUGCGCCACUGACGUCGCUGACUUUCUCUUGUACGACGUCAUUCUACAUCAUGGCGCCCCUCGACAGCUGCUUACCGAUCGAGGAAGGUAGUUCCUUUCAUGUAUUGUCGACGACAUUCUCCGUACCUGCUCCACUCAGCACAAGCUUACCACAGCCUAUCAUCUCCAGACGAAUGGAUUGACCGAGCAUCUCAAUGGAACGCUUACUCAGAUGCUGUCAGUGUACGUUUCGUCCGAUCGCCGUGACUGGGACAGUGCACUGCCAUUUGUCACUGUUGCUUAUACUUCUUCAUGACAUGAUACAAUGGGUUAUUCACCAUUCUAUUUGCUAUUUGAUCGGCAUCCAGUGUUACCAUUUGGGACCCUCCUUCCUUCGACCAGACCCUUGUCUACUUCGUACGCCAGCGACGUCAUUGUUCGAGCACAUACAGCUUAACAAAUCACCCACGACCGACUAUCAUUGUCCCAAGCACAGCAAAAAGAUAGUUACGAUAGUCGACAUCGAAGCGUCAACUUCACACCAAGAUCUUCGGUACUCCUUUAGUCACCCUGCCGCCAAGUCGGCUCAUCCGAGAAGCUUCUCUCCCAUUACAACGGCCCCUACAGAGUGUACUCCACUGACUUAGCGACGUCAAUUAUGAGAUCGCACCUGUGGACUCGGCUUAUUCGACCACGUCACCCCAGACAGACAUCAAACACGUCUUUAGACUGAAACUAUAUUGCCCUGCUAGCUCUUCAUUGCCUUAGAAAGCGCCACGAUGGCGCUUCCGCCGCGGGAGGGUGAUGUUACGGUGCAACAUAGACAUGAACGAGGGUGGUGGUCGCCGAAGAUAAAGACGACGAGAAAACGUAGAGCUGGUGCGUGGUACUCAUCCGCCAUGUCGUCUGGCGGACGAUCAGCUGUUUCAAUAAACCUCAAUCUCAUCUCCGUCACAAUGUCAACGGGAAAUAUAUUUUGUACGGUAUUUUACAUGAAGUUUGCAUGCAUAAUCUACAUCCUCAAAAGUGACUCUGUAGUGUCCCCCCGUACUUGCCUAACAUUACCACGCAGCAGUCAAUACAAGUUAUGAUGAUGUCAUAGAUACCAUUUUUCUUCUGAGCUGCAUUCGCUCCAGCAUACUACUACUCGGCGGCUCCUCUUGAGUUUGUGGUGCAUGCGUUAAAUGUUUUGUGUCUGGCGACCCUGCUGUCCCGUUUCCUGUUUGAGAAGACUUCUUGAUGCGGACUGUGCGGAAGUGCGUCACAGUUACUGUAUGCUGACGUGGUCGGGUGUUUCACAUGCUACGUGGUAAUAGUUGCACCCACUUGCUUCUCUUUCUUGGAGCUCUCUCAAACCAAAACUGAGACUGGUCAGUAAUGAAGAGCCUGUAACUAAUGAUCUGUCACGCACUACAGCAAACAUGUGUCGUGUUACAGCUAAUAGGCCCCCAGCAACAUAUUGCACUAAAAAACAUGAGGCCAAAACUUUUUUUCAGUACCCUUUUAAAUGCAAAAAUACUGUGUACUUGGAAUUACGUAAAUGUACCAUUGUCAUAGGUUCUACCAUUUCCAAUGGAGACUGAAAUGUAGACCCGUGUGCUCAGAUUUGGGUGCACUUAAAGAACCCCAGGUGGUCGAAAUUUCUGGAGCCCUCCACUACGGCGUCUCUCAUAAUCGUAUGGUGGUUUUGGGACGUUAAACCCCACAUAUCAAUCAGUCAUAGGUUAUACAAAACAUGAUUGCUUUUCAGUUAGUUGGAGCAGUUUCUUGACCCUUGCAAUAAACCUUGCCAAACAAAA